GCAGGACUGAGCCGCCCGUGUCCUGUGGUCAAGAGAGCGUAAGGUUCCGUGGCCAUGUUAGGACCACACUGGGGGCGGGCGUUCCCAACGCCAUUCCGUCUUAGUAGAGUUUCAGUUUUAUACCAGACAAAUACUUGCUCCUCAAAAGAACCUGAUAUGUUUUUUCCUUAGGAAGAAACAGACGUGGAAAGAUUAAAUUAUAUGGCCAAGACCUAAUUGUAACCGGUAAGGGCAAGAUUUGAAAGCGGCUGACUCCACUGCACGAUUCUCCAUUUUCUCAAUUUCAAGCAUCAGUGGGGCACUCAGGAGUAGUAUUCAAAAGCAAAGAAAAACUUCUAUCCUUUCAUUUUUCUGUUGCAUCUUUGUGAAAAUGCCAGCAAGUCCAGUGUUGAUAAGAGAGGAAACAAGAAUGUUGGGGUAUAUCUCCUCAGGAACCUGUGCAGUAAUACUAGAGAAGACACGUUCAUGGAACAUGGUGACCUACACUGUAGUAAUGAGUAUCAUCAGUGCCUGCAUUGCAUCACUUGGCCUGAUUUCACUAUUACUUGAGUUUAUAAUAUACAAUGGAAAUGUAAGGAAACCUGUUUGGGCACAGAGAGCCGGUAAAAUCCUUUCUAACUAUGUGUAUCUGUUCACCCUCUUGGAGUUGAUGGUGGCAAGUACAGUGGCUCAAUGGGUAUACCAUGCAAAACGUCACAGAUAAUAUACAGUUCAUGACAGUGGGGAUCCUUUUCCUACCUAUUAAAGAACCAUCAUGGCCUCAAUAAAGGAAGACAGUUUAGUGGUGAAUGAAGAACUUCAUUUUGUUCAAGAGGCUUCUUGGAAAAUAAUCCAUCUGAGUCUUCCUUUCCCCCAUUCAUUAAUAAAAAGUAA
rnacentral:lncRNA from 1 species